rnacentral:pre_miRNA from 1 species
GAUAUACUUCCUCCGUUCCUAAAUAUAAGUCUUCUAAGAGAUUUUACUAUGGACUACAUACGGAUGUAUAUAGACAUACUUUAGAAUGCAGAUUCACUCAUUUCGCUUCGUAUGUAGUCCGUAGUAAAAUCUCUUAAAAGACUUAUAUUUAGGAACGGAGGGAGUAUAUA